ACCCCUGUGAGAAUGCCCUACAUUUCCUCACCCGGAAACAAGGAGCUGGUAUCAGGCACAUUUCAUUUAAAGCCCAAGACACCUUGCUUAGCCACACCCUCAAGGGAACUCAGCAGUGAUAAACAUUAAGCCAUGAGUGAAAACUCGACUUAGUUAAGGUUAAGAGGGUCGGUAAAACUCGUGCCAGCCACCGCGGUUAUACGAGAGACCCAAGUUGUUAGUCACCGGCGUAAAGAGUGGUUAAGACAAACUAAUAUACUAAAGCCGAACACCUUCCAAGCUGUCAUACGCACCCGAAGGUAUGAAGACCAAUAACGAAAGUGGCUUUACAUUAUCUGAGCCCACGAAAGCUACGGCACAAACUGGGAUUAGAUACCCCACUAUGCCUAGCCCUAAACAUUGACAGCAUGCUACAUUUGCUGUUCGCCCGGGAACUACGAGCAUUAGCUUAAAACCCAAAGGACUUGGCGGUGCUUUAGAUCCACCUAGAGGAGCCUGUUCUAGAACCGAUAACCCCCGUUCAACCUCACCCUUUCUUGUUUUAUCCCGCCUAUAUACCACCGUCGUCAGCUUACCCUGUGAAGGCCCCAUAGUAAGCAAAAUUGGCAGAGCCCAAAACGUCAGGUCGAGGUGUAGCGUAUGAAAGGGGAAGAAAUGGGCUACAUUCACUAGCAUAGUGAAUACGAAUAAUAUGCUGAAAUACAUAUUUGAAGGAGGAUUUAGCAGUAAGCAGGAAAUAGAGUGUCCCGCUGAAACCGGCCCUGAAGCGCGCACACACCGCCCGUCACUCUCCCCGAGCUCCUGAAUUUUAGUAACUAAAAACCCAUAACUGCAAAGGGGAGGCAAGUCGUAACAUGGUAAGUGUACCGGAAGGUGCACUUGGAAAAAU
rnacentral:ncRNA from 1 species